AGCACUUGUACUAGCUGUAAAGGGCUCUCCGUUGCAGUGGGAGGAACUCAUAAAGUGUGCCACUGAGUGUGGGUUGGAUACAACGAAGGGUCUCUCACUUGAUGUUUCAACUAGGUGAAAUUCAACCUAUCUGAUGCUGAGGGAUGCCUUGUACUACAAGCCUGCUUUUGUGAGGCUUAAGUCCUCGGAUCGCCGUAGAUUCCAAGAAAUUUUCUUCCAUUGUGGAUGAUCUCGAGGUUCUAGAGACCAUUUCUAAUAAACUGAUGCAUGAGGAGAAAGAAGAAGAAAUAGCAAGUGAUCCAGAUGUGAUGAAUGAUUAUGAGCAGCUGUAGGCCGAGAGUGAUUGAAGAAUGUUUAUGUUCAUGUUUUGUUGUCCUAUUAUUGUCAUAUGUUGACGUUGUGGUGGACUAGUGGUUCGAUGUUAUUAUGUUAAGACUUUGUGUGGUUGUAUGGAUAUUUAUACUAUCGUUCACUUAUAUAUCUGUUUGAGACUUAUUGUUUGUGUGGUUAAAUAUAUACAUGUCAUCGUUAUGUUAUAUCACAUGUUAUCUCACUAAGCAUGGAUGAUGCAUUUAUUGUAGUC